rnacentral:lncRNA from 1 species
AAUUAUGGAUUUAUAAAACCUUUAAAUGUUGCGUAUGGUUCUUGGUUUCAACUAGAAUUGGGUCUUAUGUUGGACCACGAGUUGAAUUUUUUUGCUCAGAUCUUUCAGAAGCACCAAUUGAGGCAAAUAGGCUCAGUUCUUUAAAAUUUCGUUUGGUUCGGAUAUAAACAAGAAGAACUUUCUAUUCCAAUGAUAGGUGUAAGUUUAGGUAUAAACUUGAAAUAGAUCAAUUUUGCGUUUGGAUAAAAAUUAAGUUGUUCUCGGGAAUAAGAAAAAUAGCGUUUGAAUAGAUAAGAUGGAAUAAGAAAGAUAAUGAGUAGUUAUAAAUAGAAAAUAAUAAUAUUGUCCCUUAUAUUAAAUUUAAAAUUUAAAUUUAAUUUUUUACAUUUUAUAUUAAAAUUUUUAAAUUUAAAUAUAUAACUUUGAAAUUUCAAAAUCUUAAAAUUUAAAUUUAAAUUCAAAAAUUCAAAGUUCUAAAUUUUAUAUUUAAAAUUAAAUUUAAAUGUAAAAAUAUCAAAUUUUAAAUUUAAAAAAUUUAAAAUUUUAUUUUUUAAAAAAGUUAAAUUA